GAUGAACGCUGGCGGCGUGCCUAAUACAUGCAAGUCGAGCGAACAGACGAGGAGCUUGCUCCUCUGACGUUAGCGGCGGACGGGUGAGUAACACGUGGAUAACCUACCUAUAAGACUGGGAUAACUUCGGGAAACCGGAGCUAAUACCGGAUAAUAUAUUGAACCGCAUGGUUCAAUAGUGAAAGACGGUUUUGCUGUCACUUAUAGAUGGAUCCGCGCCGCAUUAGCUAGUUGGUAAGGUAACGGCUUACCAAGGCAACGAUGCGUAGCCGACCUGAGAGGGGGGUCGGCCACACGGGAAGUGAGACACGGUCCAGACUCCUGCGGGAGGCAGCAGUAGGGAAUCUUCCGCAAUGGGCGAGAGCUUGACGGAGCAACGCCGCGUGAGUGAUGAAGGUCUUCGGAUCGUAAAACUCUGUUAUUAGGGAAGAACAAAUGUGUAAGUAACUAUGCACGUAUUGACGGUACCUAAUCAGAAAGCCACGGCUAACUACGUG
rnacentral:rRNA from 1 species